CACGCUUCUCGGCCUUUUGGCCAGGAUCAAGUGUAGUAUCUGUGCCUAUCAGUUUAAUAUCUGAUACGCCCCCAUCUGGGGACCAUAUAUUCAAAUUGAUUUUGGAACAGGGAGAUGGAAUAGGGGCUUGCUCCUGCCCACCCCCACCUACAUCGACCCGGGUAUUGCAGUAUCUCCAGAAUGCACUUUCUCC